ensembl:miRNA
UUAAGACUUGCAGUGAUGUUUAACUCCUCUCCACGUGAACAUCACAGCAAGUCUGUGCU